CAGUCGCCGCGGGAAUACGAAGGGGGCUAGCGGUGCUCGGAAUGACUGGGCGUAAAGGGCGCGUAGGCGGCGAUCAAAGUCAGGCGUGAAAUUCCUGGGCUCAACCUGGGGGCUGCGUUUGAUACUUGAUUGCUAGAGUGGGGAAGAGGGUCGUGGAAUUCCCAGUGUAGAGGUGAAAUUCGUAGAUAUUGGGAAGAACACCGGUGGCGAAGGCAGCCCCCUGGGCCAAUACUGACGCUCAUGCACGAAAGCGUGGGGAGCAAACAGGAUUAGAUACCCGAGUAGUCCCUGUCUCUUAUAC
rnacentral:rRNA from 1 species